GAGGGUGGAUCCAAGCCUUGGAGCAUAAAACCAGGUUGAUUUUAACCCUGUGUGGGGAGCUCUAGUAGCAGUUUCUUCUACAUCUUACAUUCGAAAGGACUUGGAAUAGGAGAUAGAGUGCCUCACCAUAGCAUGGGUGCUUGCUGAAGACAAUUCAGGCUGAUCACUCCCACCCAGAAGCGGUUGAUCUAUCCUGGUGUAAACCUUCAAAGAGGCAACUAACCGGACACCAUGGACCAGCAACUGAAGAAAA